rnacentral:rRNA from 1 species
GCAAAACGCGAAGAACCUUACCAGGUCUUGACAUCCCGUUGACCACUGUAGAGAUAUGGUUUCCCUUCGGGGACAACGGUGACAGGUGGUGCAUGGCUGUCGUCAGCUCGUGUCGUGAGAUGUUGGGUUAAGUCCCGCAACGAGCGCAGCCCUUGAUCUUAGUUGCCAUCAUUUAGUUGGGCACCCUAAGGUGACUGCCGGUGACAAACCGGAGGAAGGUGGGGAUGACGUCAAAUCAUCAUGCCCCUUAUGACCUGGGCUACACACGUGCUACAAUGGACGAUACAAACGGUUGCCAACUCGCGAGAGGGAGCUAAUCCGAUAAAGUCGUUCUCAGUUCGGAUUGUAGGCAGCAACUCGCCUACAUGAAGCCGGAAUCGCUAGUAGUCGCGGAUCAGCAUGCCGCGGUGAAUAUGUUCCCGGGUCUUGUACACACCG